GACGAACGCUGGCGGCGUGCUUAACACUUGCAAGUCGAACGAUGACGCACAGCUCGCUGGGUGGAUUAGUGGCGAACGGGUGAGUAACACGUGGGUGAUCUGCCCUGCACUUCGGGAUAAGCCUGGGAAACUGGGCCUAAUACCGGAUAUGACCAAAGGCUGCAUGGCUUUUGGUGGAAUGUUUUUCGGUGCAGGGUGAGCCCGCGGCCUAUCAGCUUGUUGGGGGGGUAAUGGCCUACCAAGGCGACGACGGGUAGCCGGCCUGAGAGGGGGACCGGCCACACUGGGACUGAGACACGGCACAGACUCCUACGGGAGGCAGCAGUGGGGAAUAUUGCACAAUGGGCGAAAGCCUGAUGCAGCGACGCCGCGUGAGGGAUGACGGCCCUCGGGUUGUAAACCUCUUUCACCAGGGACGAAGCGCAAGUGACGGUACCUGGAGAAGAAGCACCGGCCAACUACGUGCCAGCCGCCGCGGUAA
rnacentral:rRNA from 1 species